AGUAAACAUUUGGAGACUGCACCGGGGCUAAUUCAAAAAUGUCAGGACAAACUAGAACUUGCAAGUCUAUUUGCCUGCAUGGACAGACUUCUAAGAAUAAGAAAGGAAUGGGAGCAGCACAGUGAGGGAGGAUGGGGAAGGAGAAUCUUAUCUACUCUAAAAGACUGACCCAACUUCAGAGAUAGAGUCUCACUAUGGGCCCAUGCUGGCCUCGAACUCUCGAGCUUAAGUGAUCUCUGUCUCAGCCUCCAGAGUAGCUGGCACUACAGGCAUGAACCACCACACCGGGCUUACUGUCAUUAUCUCUAAUGUGAAGGCCACGCCAUCUCAGUCUUUAAUUUGUCAUCAUGAACAUUGAAAAGUAUGCUCCAACCAGCAGCAUGGACCGCAAGUGGAGCCCAGCAAUUGGGAAGUUGCAAAUGCCUGGAUGCCACGUUUUCCAUGUCCUUUAGAUAUCCUUGACUCAUGCAUCCUGUCUGUGCUAAUGUUGGUUUUCUGAUUGCAGUGUGUCUGGAGUCUCAACAAGUGCCCAAGCUACCCUCAAAGGGUCACUCCUUUCUUCAAGUAGCACUUGUGCUUCCCUUGACCUCUUUGUCCCUCUCUGAUUCCACUUAGAGCCACUUUUCAGCAGAAAUUUUUUUCCUUUGCUUCAAGCCACUCUGUCCUAUGGGUUUGUCUAGUGUCUUAAAGACAAUUUGAAUAGGAAAAGUCUGAGCCUUAGAUGAGCAGACCAUUCUCCAGAUCAGACAAGCUAUAGUAAAACUUCAAAGGGAAAUCUUUUAUUCCUAAAUAGAAUAGGAAACUCAUCUGAGU